ACCAUUUCCUUGCUAACCCCAUCAAGCAUAUUCACCAAAAAUCAUGUCCAGCAUUUUCAAAUUCAUAGUCCCAAUUGUGCUUAUUCUGGCCAACUUGUUGCAAAUUUCAUUCUCUUCUGUUGUUUCCACUGGAGAUUUUAAUCAAGACUUCUUUGUAACAUGGGCGCCAAGCCAUGUAAAUACUUCUGCUGAUGGCAGGACAAGAAGCUUGAAGCUUGACCAGGAAUCUGGAUCCGGAUUCGCUUCGAGCCACAUGUUCUUGUUUGGGCAGAUUGAUAUGCAAAUCAAACUAGUUCCAGGCCAUUCAGCAGGCACAGUUGUGGCAUUUUAUUUGACAUCAGAUCAACCAAAUCGUGAUGAGAUAGAUUUGGAGUUUCUUGGGAAUGUGAGUGGGCAGCCAUAUAUUCUUCAAACCAAUGUUUUUGCUGAUGGGUUUGAUGAUCGCGAAGAAAGGAUUUAUCUUUGGUUUGAUCCUACAAAAGACUUCCAUACUUACUCUGUCUUGUGGAACCUUCACCAAAUUGUGUUUAUGGUGGAUUGGAUUCCAAUAAGAGUAUACAGAAACCAUGCAGACAAAGGAGUAGCAUAUCCUAGGUGGCAGCCAAUGGGCAUAAAAAUAAGCCUAUGGAAUGGUGACAACUGGGCAACAAGAGGUGGAAAAGACAAAGUGGAUUGGUCAAAAGGUCCAUUCAUAGCUUCAUUCAGGAAUUACAAAAUUGAUGCUUGCGUUUGGAAUGGAAAUCCAAGGUUUUGCAGAGCAGAAAGCUCCACAAAUUGGUGGAAUAAGCAGAGAUACAACACUCUUACAUCUACGCAAAGAAGGUGGUUCAAAUGGGUUAGGUUGCACCAUAUGAUUUAUGACUAUUGCCAAGACUACAAGAGAUUCCAAAACAACCUUCCUAAAGAGUGUCUCCUCCCUAAAUAUUAAUUGUCUAAAGUGGCAUUUUUAUUUCUUUAAAUUUUAGUUAUAUUGAUAUUAAUACAUUGUUGGCUUCAUAAUUAUUUGAACAAUUUUCGAGCUAUAUUAAUAAAAUAUUUCCCCUUUUCUUUUCCCUAAA
rnacentral:misc_RNA from 1 species